CAGGCCGCAGUUUGCCCACCCCUGGCUUAACACCUACCACCAAAAUCGAGGCCUUAAUAACUAAAAGCUCUUUGCCCUCCAUUUUCAAAGAAGAGAAAACUGGUCUCCUGCUUCAUUCAAUGAAACACCUGAGGUGUUUGGGGAGGUAACUAACGAAUGUCUAUUCCAUUAUAAAAAUAAUAUGGUUGUGAAUCACUGGCUUUAAGUGCAGGAGGUUCUUGCUGAUGAAGUUGCUGUUGGCACCCAUUGCUAAGAUCAGAGCCAAAUCACAACUCCCCGGGUGAAAUUCACCGCUAUGCAGAAAGCCAGCCCAACUUCUACGUACCAGUUAAGUCCCAUUGUUUGUACUUUUCAGUAUCGCAGAGGGUGAGUCCAUGGCAGAGAGAACUUUUACUACAAGAUAAGGGUGUGGGGCCUGAUCCUGCGCUCAGUGAAGUCC